rnacentral:rRNA from 1 species
GAUGAACGCUAGCGGCAGGCCUAAUACAUGCAAGUCGGACGGGAUCCAUCGGUAGCUUGCUAUCCAUGGUGAGAGUGGCGCACGGGUGCGUAACGCGUGAGCAACCUGCCUCCAUCAGGGGGAUAGCCUCUCGAAAGAGAGAUUAACACCGCAUAACAUAUCAGACCGGCAUCGGUCCGAUAUUAAAUAUUUAUAGGAUGGAGAUGGGCUCGCGUGACAUUAGCUUGUUGGUGGGGUAACGGCCCACCAAGGCGACGAUGUCUAGGGGCUCUGAGAGGAGAAUCCCCCCACACUGGUACUGAGACACGGACCAGACUCCUACGGGAGGCAGCAGUAAGGAAUAUUGGUCAAUGG